rnacentral:rRNA from 1 species
AGAGUUUGAUCAUGGCUCAGAAUGAACGCUGGCGGCGUGGUUAAGACAUGCAAGUCGCACGGAAUCGUUAUAAAUGAGUCUUCGGAUGAUUUUGUAUCGGUUUAGUGGCGCAAGGGUGAGGAAUACUCGGGAACGUACCCCGUACACUGGGAUAGCUGUGGGAAACUGCAGGUAAUACCAGAUACUCUCCUUCGGGAGCAAAGGGUGGGGAUCUCUUCGGAGACCUGCCGGUAUGGGAGCGGCCCAAGUCCUAUCAGCUAGUUGGUGAGGUAAUGGCUCACCAAGGCAACGACGGGUACCGGGACUGAGAGGUUGAUCCGGCACAUCGGGACUGAGACACUGCCCGGACUCCUACGGGUGGCUGCAGUAACGAAUAUUCCGCAAUGGGCGAAGGCCUGAUCCAGCGACGCCGCGUGCAGGAUGAAGUCCCUCGGGAUGUAAACUGCUGUCGAGGGAUUAGUAAGCAAUUAGGCUCAAUAGGUCUAUGCGUUGAACAGUCCCACAGGAAGGUCCGGCUAACUUCGUGCCAGCAGCCGCGGUAAGACGGGAGAGGCAAGCGUUGUUCGGAAUCACUGGGCUUAAAGCGGGCGUAGGCGGAUGGCCAAGUAUCUUGUGAAAUCCCUCGGCUCAACCGAGGAAUUGCAGGGUAAACUGGUCGUCUUGAGGCAGGUAGAGGUAACUGGAACUCAUGGUGGAGCGGUGGAAUGCGUAGAUAUCAUGGGGGAACGCCAAAGGUGAAGACAAGUUACUGGGCCUGUCCUGACGCUGAGGUACGAAAGCGUGGGUAGCAAACAGGAUUAGAUACCCUGGUAGUCCACGCCCUAAACGAUGUAUACUAGUCCGGAGGAACUCUGACGUUUUUUCGGACGAAAUGAAAACGUUAAGUAUACCGCCUGGGGAGUACGGUCGCAAGGCUAAAACUCGAAGGAAUUGACGGGGGCUCACACAAGCGGUGGAGCAUGUUGCUUAAUUCGAUGCAACGCGAAGAACCUUAUCCUGGGCUUGACAUAUUUGGAUGACCAUCUGGAAACAGAUAGUCUGCUCUUCGGAGUGAAACUUAUACAGGUGCUGCAUGGCUGUCGUCAGUUCGUGUCGUGAGAUGUUGGGUUAAGUCCCGUAACGAACGAAACCCUUGUCACUAGUUGCCAGCGAGUAAUGUCGGGGACUCUAGUGAGACUGCCGGUGUUAAACCGGAGGAAGGUGGGAAUGACGUCAAGUCCUCAUGGCCUUUAUGCCCAGGGCUGCAAACGUGCUACAAUGGCUGGUACAAAGCGACGCGAGACCGUGAGGUGGAGCAAAUCGCAUAAAGCCGGCCCCAGUUCGGAUAGUAGUCUGCAACUCGACUACUUGAAGUUGGAAUCGCUAGUAAUCGCGUAUCAGCGUGACGCGGUGAAUGUGUUCCUGAGCCUUGUACACACCGCCCGUCAAGCCAUGGAAGCUGGUAGUACCCGAAGUCGUGCCGAUUCAGGCAUGCCGAAGGUAAGAUCGGUGACUGGGGCUAAGUCGUAACAAGGU